AUUGAACGCUGGCGGCAGGCCUAACACAUGCAAGUCGAACGGCAGCACAGAAGAGCUUGCUCUUUGGGUGGCGAGUGGCGGACGGGUGAGUAAUGUCUGGGAAACUGCCCGAUGGAGGGGGAUAACUACUGGAAACGGUAGCUAAUACCGCAUAACGUCGCGAGACCAAAGUGGGGGACCUUCGGGCCUCACACCAUCGGAUGUGCCCAGAUGGGAUUAGCUAGUAGGUGGGGUAAUGGCUCACCUAGGCGACGCUCCCUAGCUGGUCUGAGAGGAUGACCAUCCACACUGGAACUGAGACACGGUCCAGACUCCUACGGGAGGCAGCAGUGGGGAAUAUUGCACAAUGGGCGCAAGCCUGAUGCAGCCAUGCCGCGUGUAUGAAGAAGGCCUUCGGGUUGUAAAGUACUUUCAGCGGGGAGGAAGGCGGUGAGGUUAAUAACCUCGCCGAUUGACGUUACCCGCAGAAGAAGCACCGGCUAACUCCGUGCCAGCCGCCGCGGUAA
rnacentral:rRNA from 1 species